AACGAACGCUGGCGGCAGGCCUGAGGCAUGCAAGUCGAACGCGUGUAGCAAUACACGAGUGGCGCACGGGUGAGUAAUGUAUGGGAAUCUGCCUAGUAGUGGGGAAUAACGGUGGGAAACUGCCGCUAAUACCGCAUACGCCCGAAAGGGGAAAGAUUUAUCGCUAUUAGAUGAGCCCAUAUUGGAUUAGCUUGUUGGUGGGGUAAAGGCCUACCAAGGCAGUGAUCCAUAGCUGGUUUGAGAGAACGAUCAGCCACACUGGGACUGAGACACGGCCCAGACUCCUACGGGAGGCAGCAGCCAGGAAUAUUGGACAAUGGGCGAAAGCCUGAUCCAGCCAUGCCGCGUGAGUGAAGAAGGCUUUCGGGUUGUAAAGCUCUUUUGGUGGGGACGAUGAUGACGGUACCCACAGAAUAAGCACCGGCUAACUUCGUGCCAGCAGCCGCGGUGAUACGAAGGGUGCAAGCGUUGUUCGGUUUUACUGGGCGUAAAGCGUAUGUAGGCGGAAAGACAAGUCAGGCGUGAAAGCCCGGGGCUCAACUCCGGAAGUGCGCUUGAAACUAUCCUUCUUGAGGAUGACAGAGGACAAUGGAACUCCGAGUGUAGAGGUGGAAUUCGUAGAUAUUCGGAAGAACAUCAGUGGCGAAAGCGAUUGUCUGGGUCAUAUCUGACGCUGAGAUACGAAAGUGUGGGGAGCAAACAGGAUUAGAUACCCUGGUAGUCCACACCGUAAACUAUGGGCAUUAGCUGUUGGGGGCUUUCGAGCUCUCAGUGGCUGAGCUAACGCAUUAAAUGCCCCGCCUGGGGAGUACGGUCGCAAGAUUAAAACUUAAAGGAAUUGACGGGGACCCGCACAAGUAGUGGAGUAUGUUGUUUAAUUCGAUGAUACGCGAAAAACCUUACCACCCCUUGACAUACCGGUUGCGGCUUCCAGAAAUGGUCGCCUUCAUUCAGUUGGACCGGAUACAGAUGCUGCAUGGCUGUCGUCAGCUCGUGUCGUGAGAUGUUGGGUUAAGUCCCGCAACGAGCGCAACCCUCAUCAUUAGUUGCCAUCAUUCAGUUGGGAACUCUAAUGAAACUGCCGGUGAUAAGCUGGAGGAAGGCGGGGAUGAUGUCAAGUCAGCAUGGCUCUUACGAGGUGGGCUACAAACGUACUACAAUGACGCUUACAAAGGGCAGCGACGUCGCAAGGCGUAGCCAAUCCUAAAAAAGCGCCUCAGUUCAGAUUGUCGUCUGCAACUCGACGGCAUGAAGUCGGAAUUACUAGUAAUCGCAGAUCAGCAUGCUGCGGUGAAUGCGUUCUCGGGUC
rnacentral:rRNA from 2 species